rnacentral:rRNA from 1 species
UACAGAGGUCUCAAGCGUUGUUCGGAUUCAUUGGGCGUAAAGGGCGCGUAGGCGGCUGUGUAAGUCGGGAGUGAAAGCCCGGGGCUCAACCCCGGAAUGUCUCUCGAAACUGCGCGGCUUGAGUGCGGAAGAGGCAACUGGAAUUCCCAGUGUAGCGGUGAAAUGCGUAGAUAUUGGGAAGAACACCUGAGGCGAAGGCGGGUUGCUGGGCCGACACUGACGCUGAGGCGCGAAAGCCAGGGGAGCAAACGGG